rnacentral:rRNA from 1 species
UACGUAGGGUGCAAGCGUUGUCCGGAAUUAUUGGGCGUAAAGAGCUCGUAGGCGGUCUGUCACGUCGGACGUGAAAAUCCAGGGCUCAACCCUGGACCUGCGUUCGAUACGGGCAGACUAGAGUUCGGUAGGGGAGACUGGAAUUCCUGGUGUAGCGGUGAAAUGCGCAGAUAUCAGGAGGAACACCAAUGGCGAAGGCAGCUCGCUGGGACGGUAUUGACGCUAAGGCGCGAAAGCGUGGGGAGCAAACAGG